UACAGAGGGUGCGAGCGUUGUCCGGAAUUACUGGGCGUAAAGGGCGCGUAGGCGGCCUUCUAAGUCGAACGUGAAAUCCCCGGGCUCAACCCGGGAACUGCGUCCGAUACUGGAAGGCUUGAAUCCGGGAGAGGGAUGCGGAAUUCCAGGUGUAGCGGUGAAAUGCGUAGAUAUCUGGAGGAACACCGGUGGCGAAGGCGGCAUCCUGGACCGGUAUUGACGCUGAGGCGCGAAAGCCAGGGGAGCAAACGGG
rnacentral:rRNA from 1 species